GUGCUUGCUGUGGAGGAGCACAUAUAGUAAAACUGGAAUGAUAUGGAGAUUAACAAGGCCCCUGUGCAAAGAUGACACAUGAAUUUGUGAAGCAUUCCAUAUUAAA